rnacentral:lncRNA from 1 species
GGGGCCGGCCGCGCGCCAGGCCCCGCCCCUCGGGGCCCCGCCCAGGGCGCGCUGCCAGGGGUUUCCAUGGUGAUGGUAAACAAGCCUCAACUGCCUCAGCUACAACUGCCAAGUUCCCCGCGUUCCACCCUCCUCUAGGUGCUCAGAGGGACGAUCGAGGUGCCGGAUGUGAAGAGCGGGAGCGUGGAGACCCGGAGCCCGAGGACAGUUCGUUACCUACCAGGAGUGUCUCCGACUGUGGGCAUCCCCCCUCAGGUGGUUCUUUAAGCCACAAAAAACUGCACCCAAGCUUGUUUGAC